UACAGAGGUGGCAAGCGUUGUUCGGAAUUAUUGGGUUUAAAGGGUGCGUAGGCGGUUUACUAAGUCAGUGGUGAAAUCCGGCAGCUCAACUGUCGAUGUGCCAUUGAUACUGAUAGACUUGAGUACAGACGAGGUAGGCGGAAUUGACGGUGUAGCGGUGAAAUGCUUAGAUAUCGUCAAGAACACCGAUAGCGAAGGCAGCUUACUAGGCUGUAACUGACGCUGAUGCACGAAAGUGUGGGGAUCAAACAGG
rnacentral:rRNA from 1 species